UUUGCCCAGGAAAGGCUCCUUGAUGGUGAAAAAGAAAAGAGCUGCAUUGUUGAUAAAAUGUUGCAGUGUUUGCCUGCCAGACAACUUGGUGUAGAGACUCACCAUGUUGAGGGCAGGGACGGUGGGCCGCCUUCAGACCUCUGACGGCUGAGCACAGACGUCCACGAGGUGUUUGUUGACAGCCCAUUUGAAUACUGCCUUUUUAGGGCCUCCUCACUCCUUAGGAGGCCAGUCAAGUCCGGGUAUGUUUCCAUGAGGCCAUUCUCAUCUCCUGAAAUAGAGAGAGGGGAACAGUUAGUAUGGAAAACAUCUCUCUUUUUAAACCUGGUGUGGAUGAGUGAAAACAAUGACUUAUUCAAUAAUCUAAGCAGAGUCUGUUGUCCAUGAAUCAUACUGCAUACAGAAAGGUCUCUUGCAUCUGCAAAGGGAAGAGGAGCGGAGCAUUGUCACCAUGUCCCCGUAGCAUUCUGAAGGCUCGUUCACUGUGCAGAGACACAUGAUAACUGUAUGAGUGAAGAAAUGUCACGCAGGACCUCAGAGUCACCCUCCGUCGCCGAGAGUGGCCAGGAUGACUCUCCCGGGAAGCCUGUCUUCUCGCCCCGGGACGUGAUGGAUGGAGUCUGAUCGUAAUUAAUUUUAAUAGAGACCUGACGUGAUGUGAUAGAAUCUUGGCCAUUCGAAUGAAGUAGAACCAGCCAGCCAGCUUGGACAAAAACAAUCAGUUCUCCCUCACCAUUGGCUUUAGGACAAGUCAAAUCCAAUUAAACAGUGUUCAUUGGUGGAGUGAUUUUGUGCCCAGCACUAUAAAGGGUGUACAAAAGAAGGGCCAGUCUGACACCCGCUGUCUGAGCUGGACAGAGAGGAAAUACCAUGAAAUAAUAAUGGGUACCGUCUGUUGAGCCCCUGACUUACGCGCCACGCACUGUGAUGUGCUCGGUGUACACGAUCGCG